GCGGAAUAUGAAUAUUCAAGAUAUUUAGGGGGGCUAUUGGUACAUUCUUGAAACAUCUGUCAUUACGUGCGACGACCGACUUCGUGAAGUCCAAUAGAUAGUCAGCAAAAUCCAAUCUAUUCCCCGGACUGCAGCUCCAGAGAUCUCUUAACCUUACCCCAGAAUCGGUUAUCCUCCGGACACAAACCUAUUCAGCCAUAGAUGCCACUUUUGGAGAAUCAAGAAAGGGUUUGGUGGGUUGUGAUUUUGUCUAUUUAUUUAAUCUAAAGCCAGAAUUUUUGGGGGACAAUUUAAAUUUUGUAGUUCUUAACUGCAGAAAAUUUCAACCGUGCUUUGAUUAUUCAUUCCACUUGAAGAGAAUCAAGAUAUUGUGUGUUGUUUCUUUGGAAUGAUUUCUCGGGGUUUCGAAUUUGCAAAAUGGAGCUCAGGAAUUGUUCUUGAUAUGGGUUUGCUUUAAAAUCAGCAAGAAUUUCAAUUUGGUUUGAUUGUUUAUCAAAUAAAAGUGUGAACUUGAAAAGAUUUGGGACAAAAAGACAAUGGCAAUGCCAUGGAAUAUGACAAUUUGGAUGGCAAAGAUGAUAUGGCUGGCACUGAGUAAUUGGGUGGUUUCUUGUGUAAGUGUUGCUGAUGAAAUUGCUAAUUCUCUGAGAACUGGGGAAAUUAGCCCUUUCCAUGUUGGUUGAUCCAAGAAAUGGCUAUGAAUUUAGCUUAUUUUCUGGUUUGAUCUUUUCAACUAACAAUUUUUAUUUUUUAUUUUUUAUUUUUUUAUUGGGAAUGUAGUUAAUGUUGAUAGGCUUAGUUGACUUGUAUCAACGUGAAUAGUAAUUUGAGUGUUUGCUGAUGUAAAUUUUGAAUCUUUGAAUGAGAAAUGGAAGGUUACAUGAUCUAUAUUUAUGGAGAGUAUGUUAAUGUUUGAUUUAUGGUGCUUAUAGUCAAGUUCGUGAUUUUUGUGCCAUUUCUCUGAUUGGAUUCUGCUGAUAUAUCCUGCUUUUUUUGGUUUUGUUGUUAGUUAGAGCUCGGGGAAAAUACAAUGGUUGACUUUUAUAUAUUUGUUUGGGCUCUCGAAUAUUAUUUUCUUGUCC
rnacentral:lncRNA from 1 species